ACAAAAACAAAUUUAAAAAAAAGAAAAUCAUGGAAUAGAAGCAAAAGACGGCGCGCUUCUAAUUACAGAUUCACAACAAAAGUCUGUAACUACUACUGCCUUAGCACUGACUGACUGUUAAUUUCUUCAUGAAAUAAUUCGAAACGUGACGUUGCAUAAAAGAUCAAAGACCGUUUUCUAGACAAGAUUGCCCACUUUACACUCGGAUAGCAGGUCAGUGAAAAAUAAUGGGAUUGAACGUUCUCCGAAAAGAACAAGAUAAUGAAACUGUCACAGGAAAGAGACGACAAUGGAUUCGGUUUCGUGUCAACAUUGUAUCGCGAUCUUUUGAUGGCGACCGAUAAAACUCGUUUCGAAAAUUUCUAAAUCGUUUUCGACUAUAACCUGAAUAAGACGAUUUAAAUAAAAUCAUCAUCAAGAAAGUUAUUUAUAUAUAUAUAUUAAUAGAAGAUCGUAAAAUAUAAGAUUUUUGAUUAAUAAAAUUUAUUCGAUAAUUUAAUAAAUAAUCGAUUAUCGAAUAUUAAUAUCUGUAACUUGAAAUUUGCCCAAUGAAGUUGUCUGCUUAAAUUACGUAUUUCUCGGCAACUUCUAUCUAUCUAAGUUUUUUUAAACGAUUAAACGAUUACAAUGGUUUAUGGAAUGGUUUAUACAUUGUAACGAAGUGUUAACUCUGCACAAACAUGUUCUCCGGACUAGUCUAUAAAAAAUAAUAAUAUCGUAUAACUUAUGUUACGGUUAUAUGGAUUAACCAUAAAUUGGAAGAUCGAAAUCUUUGAUAAUUAGAUCAUAAACAUGAUGGUUGAUUUCGUGACGGUAUACGAAAACGAUCAAUCGAUAUCAAGAAGAUGCUUGUCUAUGACAAAUUGCGUUCCAGACGAUCAAGACGGUCAUCAAGACCUGAUCAAUUCAUUCAUCGCGAUUUCAUCAGUGAUAUUAGCGGCAUGCGAGCGACGCGUUCACCAAUUAUCGUGAAAUUUGCACACUGACAACUACAAUCUUUUCUCUUUUAUGUGCGCACGUGAUGAGAGUUGUUAAUGAUGAUGUGAAUCAAUGUGAUAGCGUUGUAAAUCAAUUUUUAAUUGCGAUUCCGGCUCGAUCUGCUUUAUCAUUGUGACAAUGUUGCUAAUAUCGCGAAUGAAAUUCGACGGAUAAUGCAUUGUGGUGAAUUGUUCGUUUGAUUUUAAUAGUUAUCUGUCAAGUUGUACAUGAUAAAAAAAGAAGUCUAGUUUUAUAGCUGGUUUAAAAGCAUAAUGAAAUCAUAGUAAUAAUCAUAUAUGUAUAUCGUAAUUAAAAAAAAUUGCAAAAAUUAUUAUAUAUAUAAUCAAACGAAUUUCAAUAAAAGUCGUUGUGUUAUCGCUUUUCGAAUGUUGAUGUCGAAGAAUCAAUGUAUUGAUGAUAAAGAAAACAUUUCGUGUCUUUUUCUCUCGGACCAUUUUAAACGUCUUUAUGAGUUUUGGCUGUUAACACGAUCAUGGAAACAGGUACGAGUUUUUUUUUCUUGAUGCCUUACUCUUCUAUUAUCUACGGGAUCUCAGGUGGCUAGCGCCUGGCACGCAUUCGUCAGGGACAAAUGAAGUCGUGAUUGGACAGGAAGUACGGCCAAAGAGCCGGCCACCGUUUCUCUUUCUCCUUUUCUCGAUUAUACCGAGACUGGUUCUUGGCUGGAAUAGCUCGAUAAAGGUCGAAUUUACUGGUUUACCUGUCGAAAGUUGGAAUAUAUUGUUAAUUUCCUGUGACAUCUAUUGAAUGAAAAUUAUAUCUUUUCGUAUACUUUUUAAUUUCUAAAAGAUAAAAAAUUAAAAAUUGUUUUCAUCUUUCGAAUAUAUAUAUACAUAUAUAUUUUUUUUUCAAGAAAUUUUAUUAUAUCAUUAAUAUAUCAUUUGAAAUUUUUUAAAUUUUAAUGAAUUCCAAAUUUCUCUUUAUUAAUGCAAUGAUAGUAAUCCAUCGUACAUUUAUAAUGGAAUACAAUUCAAAUAGAUGCUAUUUGGAUAUUUCGAAUACACGUAUACCAAGUUCCAUAUGAUCUAGUGGAUAGCCUAAGCGGAAACGAAGUUAACGAGUCGCUAUUCGGUCGCAGAUGCAUCUAACGACUUCCUCGAAAGUCAUCAAAAUUAUUUAGAAUUAAAGAUCGAGCGAUUAAAGUUACAAAAGGGGAACAAUGGUCCACCUUAAUCAAAUCGCAUUAAAAAAUGAAGAAUAAUAAGAAAAUAAAGGGAGAAUAUCAUUCUAUAAUGGAUGCAAUCUGUUUGUUUCGUACUCGUAUAUCGGUCUCGGCCGCAAUUUUUCCUGAUCGUUGGCGACCAGGCUCUGUUCCCCCGUAUCCUUUCAUGCUCAUAUAGCUCGCGUGUCGAGGUAAUGGUAUGUACAGAAGGAUAAUCUAGCAGAUACGCCGUCGUAGGUGCAUCGUUGUGUGGGAUCAUAAUGUGCAAAAGGAAAUCGCCUCGCUUUAAGGUAAAUGGUCGAGGAGUGCAGUGCGUGCCCGGCCGCGUGUGAACCACCACCGGUUUCCUUUCAUUCACUAAAGUUUCUUCAUCGCGAAUGUCGCACGAUUGCUACGCCCGAUUAUCGUUGUGCGAGCAUCAUCUCCGUGGUAAAAAGGAAUCCUUUCGCGGAACCGAUCCGUUAGCGAUUAACGGGACCGUGUCUGAAAAUUUUUAUUCGAAAAAAAAUUUGAUAAUAUAAUUUUCAUUUUUCUCAAUUCCACUUCAAUUUUAAUUAUCGUUAUUAGUAUAUAAUGUAAUGUAAUUGAUCUCAAAUUGACGCGAUGUUAGUUUAAAGUUGGAAAUUUUGAAAUAUUAUUUUUCUAUAUUUUACCAUUUUCUAUCGAUGUAUAAUUUUAAUUGAAACGAUAAUAAAUAAAUAUAAA